UCUUCAAAAGAGGAUGUCCCUACAAAGGUAUAUGGGUUUAGAUUUUUGUACCUUUCAAUGUAGCUUGGGUCCCUCAUGGGUGGAACUGGGUCCUGUUGAAGAGGAACUGAAUUAUGUUGGAGAGGGACCAAAUGGCCCUAUGGUGGUGCCGGAUGAUAUGGUGGAGGUACCAAGUUGUACUGUGACAGUACCAGAUGAUGGGGUGGAGGCACUUGAGUGUACUGUGGUGGUGAUGGAUGUUACGGUAGAGGAG
rnacentral:lncRNA from 1 species